rnacentral:lncRNA from 1 species
CCCAUCUCGAAACAUUUUUAUUCAACAACAGGUUGAUUCCUCUCUUUGCUCUUUUCCUCACUGGGUUUCAGGACACAGUUCACGUAAUCCUUGAUACUUCAUCAGUCUAACAAGUUGUGGCUUGCUUUCUUGAUCAGUUCAUGCUGUGUGACGUCUUGAGAACUUAUAUCCACUUCAAGUGAAUGAGCACUCCAGUUCUCAGCCAACAUCAAUCAUUCUUACCUAAAGCAGUAGACACCUGAAUUAGAGUGAGAACUGUAUCUUCUUUGUAUUUACAAAAGCCUAACUGCAUUUUCACCAGUCUGAGCACAAUGAAGUUUGACUGCAACCCAAAAUAUACUAUCCCUUAUGUGAAGGUAUGUGACAACGUUUACCUAACCAAAUGAGUUUUAACAUCGGCUCUUUUC